rnacentral:rRNA from 1 species
CAAUAGCGUAUAUUAAAGCUGUUGCGGUUAAAAAGCUCGUAGUUGGAUUUCUGUCAAGGACAACUGGUCCGCCCCUCAGGUGAGCACAUAGUUUGGUCUUGGCAUCUUGUUGGAAACUGUUGCUGCACUUGGUUGUGUGGCGCAGUGUCCAGCACUUUCACUUUGAGGAAAUUGGAGUGUUUCAAGCAGGCACAUGCCUUUGGACACAGUAGCAUGGAAUAAUUAGAUUGGGCUUUUGCUCCAACUUGUCGGUUUCUGGAGCUGAGGUGAGAAUUAAUGGGGAUUGUUGGGGGCAUCCGAAUUUAGCCGUCAGAGGUGAAAUUCUUGGAUCUGCUAAAGACGGACAACUGCGAAAGCGUUUGCCCAGGAUGUUUUCAUUGA